UUCCAGACUCCUACGGGAGGCAGCAGUGAGGAAUAUUGGUCAAUGGCCGGAAGGCUGAACCAGCCAAGCCGCGUGAAGGACGAAGGUGCCAAGCAUUGUAAACUUCUUUUGUCAAGGGACAAAAUCAGGCUCGAGAGCCUGACCGAGGGUACUUGAAGAAAAAGCAUCGGCUAACUCCGUGCCAGCAGCCGCGGUAAUACGGAGGAUGCGAGCGUUAUCCGGAUUUAUUGGGUUUAAAGGGUGCGUAGGCGGGCUGUUAAGUCAGCGGUAAAAGCCCGGGGCUCAACCCCGCCCAGCCGUCGGAACUGCCGGGCUAGAGUGGGCGAGAAGUGCGCGGAAUGCGUGGUGUAGCGGUGAAAUGCAUAGAUAUCACGCAGAACUCCGAUUGCGAAGGCAGCGCACCGGCGCCCUACUGACGCUCAGGCACGAAAGCGUGGGUAUCGAACAGGAUUAGAUACCCCUGUA
rnacentral:rRNA from 1 species